rnacentral:ribozyme from 1 species
CGCACCCGGACGAAGGGACCGAGUUCGACGCCGACGGCGUCG